GCAGCGAGGCACGGGCGGCGGAGCGGCGGGAUGCAGCGGUACCGGCGCGCAGGGCUGUCGGGGCUGGCCGUGCUGCUGCUGGUGGCUGCAGGCAGAACCCAGGUGCAGCAAGAGCCGUUGGCAGAGACCACCGAGGGCGCCGGCAUCAGCAUCAACUGCUCCCACCCCAACAUAAAGAUCACCUACUUCAUCCACUGGUACCGUCAGCUCCUGGGCCGAGGCCCUGCAUACCUCGUGAGCAGCCUAAAAGACUCCAAAGAGCUGCGGGACCCGCCGGGGCGGCUGUGGGUGUCGGCAGACCGCCGCUCCAGCGCCCUGUGGCUCGCCCGGCCCCGGCGCGGGGACGCGGCGGUGUAUUACUGUGCCAUGACCGAACCUGUUGCUACAGUGACGUACUACCUGUUCCCACUAGUCCUCUGGAACCGACCAAACCUCUGGCAGUAG